AGAGUUUGAUCCUGGCUCAGAUUGAACGCUGGCGGCAUGCCUUACACAUGCAAGUCGAACGGCAGCACGGGGGCAACCCUGGUGGCGAGUGGCGAACGGGUGAGUAAUAUAUCGGAACGUACCCUAGAGUGGGGGAUAACGUAGCGAAAGUUACGCUAAUACCGCAUACGAUCUACGGAUGAAAGUGGGGGCUCGCAAGACCUCAUGCUCAUGGAGCGGCCGAUAUCUGAUUAGCUAGUUGGUGAGGUAAAGGCUCACCAAGGCGACGAUCAGUAGCUGGUCUGAGAGGACGACCAGCCACACUGGGACUGAGACACGGCCCAGACUCCUACGGGAGGCAGCAGUGGGGAAUUUUGGACAAUGGGGGCAACCCUGAUCCAGCAAUGCCGCGUGAGUGAAGAAGGCCUUCGGGUUGUAAAGCUCUUUUGUCAGGGAAGAAACGGUGAGUUCUAAUACAGCUUGCUAAUGACGGUACCUGAAGAAUAAGCACCGGCUAACUACGUGCCAGCAGCCGCGGUA
rnacentral:rRNA from 1 species